UACGUAGGGUCCGAGCGUUGUCCGGAAUUAUUGGGCGUAAAGGGCUUGUAGGCGGUUUGUCACGUCGGAAGUGAAAACUCAGGGCUUAACCCUGAGCCUGCUUCCGAUACGGGCAAACUAGAGGAAUGCAGGGGAGAAUGGAAUUCCUGGUGGAGCGGUGGAAUGCGCAGAUAUCAGGAGGAACACCGGUGGCGAAGGCGG
rnacentral:rRNA from 1 species